GAACGCUCCCCGGUUCGUGCGGUGGGGAGUGGCGCACGGGUGAGUAGCGCGUGGGAACCUGCCCUGUUGUGGGGGAUAACCGAGGGAAACUUCGGCUAAUACCGCAUGCGCCCCAACGCGAGUCGGGGGAAAGAUUAUCGCAGCAGGAGGGGCCCGCGUCGGAUUAGCUGGUUGGCGGGGUAACGGCCCACCAAGGCGAUGAUCCGUAGCUGGUCUGAGAGGAUGAUCAGCCACACUGGGACUGAGACACGGCCCAGACUCCUACGGGAGGCAGCAGUGGGGAAUAUUGGACAAUGGGGGCAACCCUGAUCCAGCAAUGCCGCGUGAGUGAUGAAGGCCUUCGGGUUGUAAAGCUCUUUCGCCCGCGACGAUGAUGACGGUAGCGGGAGAAGAAGCCCCGGCUAACUUCGUGCCAGCAGCCGCGGUAAU
rnacentral:rRNA from 1 species